rnacentral:rRNA from 1 species
CACCUUGCGCUCCUUGGUAUUCCGAGGAGCAUGCCUGUUUGAGUGUCAUUAAAUUCUCAACCUCACCCGUUUUCUGAAUGGACUGAGGCUUGGAUGUGGGGGUUUGUGCAGGCUGCCUUCUUGUGCGGUCUGCUCCCCUGAAAUGCAUUAGCGAGUUCAUACUGAACUUCCGUCUAUUGGUGUGAUAAUUAUCUACGCCGUGGACGAGGUUUAGACUUGCUUCUAACCGUCCGCAAGGACAAUACCUUGACAAUUUGACCUCAAAUCAGGUAGGACUACCCGCUGAACUUAAGCAUAUCAAAAGGCGGAGGAA